UAUGUGCGCUUGCGCGACUUUUGACUCAAAUAUGACGCCAUAGUUUUGGCUUUGAUGUAUAUCCUGUCCACUGCCGCUGGCGGGACACGGCCUCUCUGGCUUUUCGUCUGAGAUAAACACUACUUCACCUAAGAGACUUGAGUAUCCAGUUCUUCAUUGACCUUCAGCAUUCAGUUGUUUGUCUUCACCUUUUCAGGUAAGCAAUUUUAAAAAAAUGCUUCUGUAAUGUUGAGAAACACUGAAAUUAUUAUUUAUAAAGAACUUUCAACCACUGUUCUGUGAUGUCAUGUAUAGUGAUAUACAAAUAUAUUUGAAGGAACGGUGUAUUUGGGAUAAUCAAUAUUAUUAGUAUUAUUCGUGUAUUUAUUUAUUUUUAAAUCAGAGAAUGGGGGGAAAAUAGAUCCUUAGUACAAAAACUAGUAACUAGUAAAAAAAAAUUGGUAACAAUAAUGUUCAUUCAUUAAUUGACGCUUGGUCAAACUCUCAUCUAAUUAAGUAUUGCUGUCUCAUUAACAUGUUGUAUUUAUUUAUUUUGUAGGCUAAAACCAGAGAAGCCAUCACCAAGCUGUUGUUUGUUGUCAUUAUGCAGAUUUUUCAGCAUGUGGUCCUCAAUAUAUAGUAUAGAAGUCACUGCAUUUUCUGACUUUUCCAGGUUUCCUGUGUCCAGCAUCUUCAAGACAGACUAAGCUAACUUUUCAUAUUUUUUGCACAUUUAUAUUUAGGUUAGGAAUAGGUUAGGUUUAUAGUAGAGUAUUUAGUUUGUAUAGUUUAGCUUUUUAUGCUGGUCUAGGGACAGUUAAGUUAGCAAAUUAAUUUAGUUCAGAUCACUUACAAUUGCAUAUUAUUGUUACAAUUGUGUUAUUUUGUGAGUUAUUGUUGUACAGGCUAUUGUAUAUUGCAGAACCAAGUGAGACGAGGAAGACCACUGCUUCCAAGAUGCCGCUCAGAAAGUGCGUUGGACAAGUCUCGACCUUGCAGAUCCUGCCCCACUUAGCCCAACCACUUCCGACCAUGGGGUACCUCAAAGACCUCCGUCAACCAGCCGGCUGUGGAUGAUGGAUAACGGACCCACAACUCCUUCUCCAGUCUACAAGGUUCUGAAAAUACAGACACCCCCACAGUCCAAGAACAGCUGGAUGACCUCUGGACCCACUUUCCCCCGUUCACCAGUUGAAAAGAUAAGCUUUUUAAAAAAUUCUUUAAUUGUUAAUUCUGGACAAAGUGAUACACAAAACAUUGUCUGUAUUCCAUUUCAACAAACACAAACAUGAAAUGUAUAUUUAAAUACAUGACUUAAUGCAAGUCAAUCAUACUAAACAUCAUCUUUUUU